rnacentral:misc_RNA from 1 species
UCGAGUUAGGGUCCUCUGGAUCCGACCUCCUACCCUUUGUCUACCUUACCUCUUGUUGCUUCGGCGGACCCGUCCUCUAGGGGACCGCCGGAGGGUUUACGCCCUCUGGCCCGCGUCCGCCGGUGGCCUAUUACUAAAACACUUGUUAAAUCGUGUCGUCUGAGUAAUUGAAACAGAAAUAAUUAA